CUGAGGUUUCCUGGACGUUGCGUUCGGGAGGCGGGGCCGGGACCCGCUGACGGCAGUUUCCCAGCCCUGUUCCCCCUCCCCUGCCCCCUCAGCCUGCGGGCAGCAGAAGGCGGCGGCCAGCCUCCUCCUGCCCCUCGGCCGGACGAACCGCGGCUGCCGCGCCUGUCACCUCUGCACCUGCCCGGCUGAGGUGAGAUGCCUGGCGCGCAAGUAGAAAAAUCUGAAAUUUGAAACAGAAAUGGCCACAUAAGGACAACUCAGAUGAAGUGCAGGCGGGCUGACAUCGCGCACUUGGGUCUUUCCGGGAAAGACAGCCGCGCUCUGGGAGAAGCCUAGUCCUCCGGCUUGUCCCCGGACCCGCCCCAAAGGCCGCUGGGAGCUCGGUGAGGACGUGGCGGUCCCCUUGCUCAUCUGACUCCGGAGGCAGGUUCCGCAGAAAGAGCUCUCAAUCUCGGCCGCUGGGCUCCAAGAUAAUCUCCUGGCGAAAGCUAAGAGGCGGCCAUCCCUUCCCGGGGACUCAGCCCCUAGAUUCAGCUUCUUCCGCCGCAAAAAACUCCCAAGCCCUGCGAACUCGCAACUUGCCUCUCCAGGCUUCCGGCGUGGGCGUCCCAGCUACACUUUCGAGCACUUUGCUUGGCCGGCAUCUACCCGCUCUUCGAUUAAGGAAAGCGCAGUGGGGACAGAGGCAACUCCUGCCUCCUGUACCAGGCCUACGUAGUCGCCCAGGUGGCCGGGUCACAAAUAAACAAUUCCACCAUCAAGAAACCCGCUAACCUCUGUACCCCGCUAACCUCUGAAAACCUAAUACUGAUCCAGGUCUCCCAAAUAAUCUGAAUCUCCCCCAGUCCUUCCGGUGGAACAGCUAGCCUGAGCGCAGGGAAAAUUGACAAGGAGCCUUCAGCUAGCCUUCUAGCUUUGAGCUUGAGUAGGGGCAUGGCUACUUGGUGGCUUCUUUGCGGUUUAUUGGUGUAUUUGGUGACUCUACAGAUCCAGAUCAGCCCCCACCCCACUCUUCCUCACCACGCCUCCCCACCCCCACCCCACCACCGCAAGUUGGUGUCUCUAGAAGAGCCUCAGGGUUCUGAGUCCCGUGGGGGCGCUCAGAGAUGGUCAAAGCAAGGUUUCUCCACAAGCUCUGAACUCUGAAGCUACACGCUUCUCCGCUGCGCACCCUGCCAAACUGGUGGGGAAGAGAUGUUAAAAUACAAUGGCAAAAUGCACUGUUGAGAACCCUUUGAAGUUGGGCAACCACGGCUGCGCCACUCUCCCCCUCUCUUUCCUCCCCAUCUCCCCACUCCUCCAGAUGCACCAGAAAUCGGCACUUUGAUCUUGCAAAGCAGCAAUUUAUAUUUAUUUAAUUUUUUUUUCCU
rnacentral:lncRNA from 1 species